UCUAUUAUGAGUGUCAAUUUUGUUUAUUAUAUUAUAUCACAUUGAAUAGUACUUGUAUGUUCAUAAACAUUAGGCUUGUAUAUUGUACAAAAGGAUUAUUACUUGCCAAUCGGUUCAAUGUAUGUGAUUUAAAUCUAACCUAUUUGCCUAUAUACUCAGUUUGUUUUCAGUAAUAAAACUAAUUAUUUGUCCCUCUUAUCAUCUUAUGUAACAUUCUGCUUGUUGACUGAUGAUUUACUGAAUAUGAUCUUCACCUAAAAAAGUGUUGAUGAUGUCUCUGAUAGUCAUUCCUGUAAAAAGAGAUCAAAGGGUAAGUUUUUUAGACAAUUACAUAUUGGGGCAUAGAUGCAGUAAUAUUGAAACAGCCGUGAAUAUCGAAGGGAAUGCCAAAAUGUGGCAUAUUCAUUCAGUUACUCAUCCUGGUUUUUCAAACAGCUAAAGUUUCAAGGCAUUGAUAGUUACAGAUCAACCAUCAUUGACAGCAUUCAUGGGCAGUUAAAGUAUUCAAAUCAGAAAGGAAAGGGCAUGACACGUUACUGAGCUUAAAAAGAACAACUCAGAAGGCUUUUCACAUCAAUAACCAGCUAUAAAAGGGCCAUAUAUCACAUACAAAAGAGGGACAGCCGCAAGAAAAUCAGAGAGAUUACACAUACAGGGUGACACACCAUAGUUACAGAGCAUUCAGAAUACACAUACACAACAAAUACCCAAAAGAGAGUGAUAUACAUUCAUAUAUCCACACAUAUCAUACAAAUCAGAGGGCACAACACAGAAUUUGUAUCUGCUCUCUAUCACACGCAUAGAAAGAAGAGAAAAGCACACAACUAUCUGUCCUCAUACACUGACCUCACACACAUAACCGAGGACGAUUCCGGAAGCAUAUCUCACAUACACGAGAAAGGGAUAGGUUGCUGAUCAAGAACAUAGAGAUAAAGGUAAUCACGGCAAGGUUAUACAUAGGAAUGCUGUCAGGUAAGGAGGUGUUUUUUAUUUGGUGAUCAAUCUGUGUUUUGAACUUAGACGAUAAAUUUAUAAACAAUUUUGCUUAGCCAUACAGAAUUACAUACAUCCCAUUCCCAUUCAAUUGAUUUCGCAGAGACACAUAUACUGUCAUUUAACCAAUAACAAAAGUAACUAAUGCUAUAUAACUACUUUAAAGCAGUGAAAUUUGUUUCUGGAUGAACAUUCAUACCAAUUGGUUUUUUUUCUCAUCAUAUUGCUAAUUACUUCACACUAUGACAAAUAUGUAAAGUUAGAUUGGAAGAGGGAUAGGGUUCUUUACCAAAAUCCUUUGCCAAUAACCAACCGUGGAGUCAUGAUUACACUGUUUUCAUUGCGGAAUUAAUGCCAUCAUUCGCCGACCUUGUUGGUGUCCUCCCUAUGCUUUAAAGGAGACUUUGUUAGANNNNNNNNNNNNNNNNNNNNNNNNNNNNNNNNNNNNNNNNNNNNNNNNNNNNNNNNNNNNNNNNNNNNNNNNNNNNNNNNNNNNNNNNNNNNNNNNNNNNAAAACAUAAUGGUAUUUUCCCAAAUCACUAACAAUCAAUCAAAGUAGAAACAAUUUUUUGAACUACAACUACGUAAGCCUUGAUCCCCUUAAUAGGGGUACGUAGGACCAAAGUCAAUAUUGUCAGGCUCAAUAAUAAAAAAUAUUAUAUUUUACUAAUUUAAUUUCUAAAUAAAUAAUUUUUAAGGGUAUAAAAGUUCAUUUGAUUAGCGAGGGUACCGUUUUAAUACGGGUGGACGGGGUGCUAGUACCUUCCCUGAUCCGUAAUCGACUCCCGAGCUCAGAAUCUCUAUUCAUAGACCAUUUUAUCCAAAUUGGGCAUAAUAAGAGUUUUCUACGUUUUAACAGCAAAAACGUAGUGGCGACUCCAAAUCAAUCGGGAGAGGUAGAAAUUGAGUUCGCCUCCUCCCAAGUCGCAGAGCCGGUCUUCCAACCGAAAAUCGGGUCGCGACAAAAUGCAUAAAAUAUUCACUCAUAUUGUUAAUCAUUUAAUUGCUUUAGAUAAGAGUUUUGCUAUUGGUGAACUUACUAACAAAGUAUUACAUUGUCUUGAUAGAAAAUGGCAGCCAAAGGUAACAACAAUAAUGGAGUCGAAAGACUUAGACACCAUGCCUCUAGCAACUCUCUUUCGCAAACUCCAAGAGCACGAAAUGGAGUUGGGACACUUAACAAUGCAUGAAGAUUCAGACCGAAAGAGAAAGGGAAUCUCUCUAAAAGCUACAUCAUCACAACAACAAGAAGAGAAAGAUGAUGAUGAAGAUUCCAAGUUUGAAUUGGAUGAUGAAACCUUAACUCUUCUAGUUAGAAAAUUUGGCAAAUUUCUCAUGAAGAAAGGAGGGUUCAAGCAUUUUCAAAAGUAAGAGGCGAGUGAUUCAACCAAAAGAGGCAAAGUUCCCAAAGAUCGCCUCAUUUUCCAUGAGUGUGGCAAACCGGGCCAUAUGAAAUACUAAUGCCCAAGUCACCUCAAGAAGGUUGAACAUGAUAAGAGCAAUCCCCGGAACUUUAAAUCCAAGAAGGCCUACAUAGUAUGGGAUGUACCUCUAUUAUGAGUGUCAAUUUUGUUUAUUAUAUUAUAUCACAUUGAAUAGUACUUGUAUGUUCAUAAACAUUAGGCUUGUAUAUUGUACAAAAGGAUUAUUACUUGCCAAUCGGUUCAAUGUAUGUGAUUUAAAUCUAACCUAUUUGCCUAUAUACUCAGUUUGUUUUCAGUAAUAAAACUAAUUAUUUGUCCCUCUUAUCAUCUUAUGUAACAUUCUCCUUGUUGACUGAUGAUUUACUGAAUAUGAUCUUCACCUAAAAAAGUGUUGAUGAUGUCUCUGAUAGUCAUUCCUGUAAAAAGAGAUCAAAGGGUAAGUUUUUUAGACAAUUACAUAUUGGGGCAUAGAUGCAGUAAUAUUGAAACAGCCGUGAAUAUCGAAGGGAAUGCCAAAAUGUGGCAUAUUCAUUCAGUUACACAUCCUGGUUUUUCAAACAGCUAAGUUUCAAGGCAUUGAUAGUUACAGAUCAGCCAUCAUUGACAGCAUUCAUGGGCAAUUAAAGUAUUGAAAUCAGAAAGGAAAGGGCAUGACAUGUUACUGAGCUUAAAAAGAAAAACUCAGAAGGCUUUUCACAUCAACAACCAGCUAUAAAAGGGCCAUAUAUCACAUACAAAAUAGGGACAGCCGCAAGAAAAUCAGAGAGAUUACACAUACAGGGUGACACACCAUAGUUACAGAGCAUUCAGAAUACACAUACACAACAAAUACCCAAAAGAGAGUGAUAUACAUUCAUAUAUCCACACAUAUCAUACAAAUCAGAGGGCACAACACAGAAUUUGUAUCUGCUCUCUAUCACACGCAUAGAAAGAAGAGAAAAGCACACAACUAUCUGUCCUCAUACACUGACCUCACACACAUAACCGAGGACGAUUCCGGAAGCAUAUCUCACAUACACGAGAAAGGGAUAGGUUGCUGAUCAAGAACAUAGAGAUAAAGGUAAUCACGGCAAGGUUAUACAUAGGAAUGCUGUCAGGUAAGGAGGUGUUUUUUAUUUGGUGAUCAAUCUGUGUUUUGAACUUAGACGAUAAAUUUAUAAACAAUUUUGCUUAGCCAUACAGAAUUACAUACAUCCCAUUCCCAUUCAAUUGAUUUCGCAGAGACACAUAUACUGUCAUUUAACCAAUAACAAAAGUAACUAAUGCUAUAUAANNNNNNNNNNNNNNNNNNNNNNNNNNNNNNNNNNNNNNNNNNNNNNNNNNNNNNNNNNNNNNNNNNNNNNNNNNNNNNNNNNNNNNNNNNNNNNNNNNNNAAUGCCCAAGUCACCUCAAGAAGGUUGAACAUGAUAAGAGCAAUCCCCGGAACUUUAAAUCCAAGAAGGCCUACAUAGUAUGGGAUGUACCAGAGGACGAAACAACAACUAGCACAUUCGAUGAAGAGGAGACCGCUAAAUUAUGCUUAAUGGCAAAUACUCAAGAAAUUGGCAGCACAAGCGAUCUGAAUGACACGAGUGAGGUACACUAUUAUUAAUCUUCUUCGUGUUCUGAUGAGUCUCCUACUUAAGAUGAACUGUAAAGUGCAUUUGUUGAGUUACACGAGGAGAUAAAGAAACUAGCAAAGGUAAAUAUAUAUAGGAAACGAGUCACCAUAUUGCAUGAAAGUAAAAUAACUAAAAUGCAAGAGGAAUUGAAUGAAUUAAAACUAGAAAAUGAGACUCUAGAUCUUAUUUACUCUUCUGCAUCAUGUAGUUGCACCACUAAAUUAAUUGAGACUCCUAUAUGUAAUCAAUGCGAUGUUCUGAAUGCUGAAAUUUCUGAUUUAAAAGAUAAAUUAGCAAAGUUCACGAAGGGAAUGCCAAAAUGUGGCAUAUUCAUUCAGUUACUCAUCCUGGUUUUUCAAACAGCUAAAGUUUCAAGGCAUUGAUAGUUACAGAUCAACCAUCAUUGACAGCAUUCAUGGGCAGUUAAAGUAUUCAAAUCAGAAAGGAAAGGGCAUGACACGUUACUGAGCUUAAAAAGAACAACUCAGAAGGCUUUUCACAUCAAUAACCAGCUAUAAAAGGGCCAUAUAUCACAUACAAAAGAGGGACAGCCGCAAGAAAAUCAGAGAGAUUACACAUACAGGGUGACACACCAUAGUUACAGAGCAUUCAGAAUACACAUACACAACAAAUACCCAAAAGAGAGUGAUAUACAUUCAUAUAUCCACACAUAUCAUACAAAUCAGAGGGCACAACACAGAAUUUGUAUCUGCUCUCUAUCACACACAUAGAAAGAAGAGAAAAACACACAGCUAUCAUUCCUCAUACACUGACCUCACACACAUAACCGAGGAUGAUUCCGGAAGCAUAUCUCACAUACACGAGAAAGGGAUAGGUUGCUGAUCAAGAACAUAGAGAUAAAGGUAAUCACAGCAAGGUUAUACACAGGAACACUGUCAGGUAAGAAGGUGUUUUUUAUUUGGUGAUCAAUCUGUGUUUUGAACUUAGACGAUAAAUUUAUAAACAAUUUUGCUUAGCCAUACAGAAUUACAUACAUCCCAUUCCCAUUCAAUUGAUUUCGCAGAGACACAUAUACUGUCAUUUAACCAAUAACAAAAGUAACUAAUGCUAUAUAACUACUUUAAAGCAGUGAAAUUUGUUUCUGGAUGAACAUUCAUACCANNNNNNNNNNNNNNNNNNNNNNNNNNNNNNNNNNNNNNNNNNNNNNNNNNNNNNNNNNNNNNNNNNNNNNNNNNNNNNNNNNNNNNNNNNNNNNNNNNNNAAGGCCUACAUAGUAUGGGAUGUACCAGAGGACGAAACAACAACUAGCACAUUCGAUGAAGAGGAGACCGCUAAAUUAUGCUUAAUGGCAAAUACUCAAGAAAUUGGCAGCACAAGCGAUCUGAAUGACACGAGUGAGGUACACUAUUAUUAAUCUUCUUCGUGUUCUGAUGAGUCUCCUACUUAAGAUGAACUGUAAAGUGCAUUUGUUGAGUUACACGAGGAGAUAAAGAAACUAGCAAAGGUAAAUAUAUAUAGGAAACGAGUCACCAUAUUGCAUGAAAGUAAAAUAACUAAAAUGCAAGAGGAAUUGAAUGAAUUAAAACUAGAAAAUGAGACUCUAGAUCUUAUUUACUCUUCUGCAUCAUGUAGUUGCACCACUAAAUUAAUUGAGACUCCUAUAUGUAAUCAAUGCGAUGUUCUGAAUGCUGAAAUUUCUGAUUUAAAAGAUAAAUUAGCAAAGUUCACGUAUAGCAGUUAUAAUCUGAACAACCUACUUGCUGCAUCUAGAAAUGUAGGUAAUCAUGGAGGCCUAGACUAUAAACCAAAGAAUAAGAGAAAACCAUAUAGAAGGCAAGUGGCUCACAUGCAUAAUAGGUCUAAUCAUAACAUGCCUACUUGUUUUUUAACCAGCUAUAAAAGGGCCAUAUAUCACAUACAAAAGAGGGACAGCCGCAAGAAAAUCAGAGAGAUUACACAUACAGGGUGACACACAUGGCAAAUAUAUAUGGAUGCAAAAAGGGCAAGACUAUUUGAUUACUAACAAGAAAGGAUCCAAUAUAACUUGGGUACCAAAACAAGGCAAGUAAAUUGUUUUGUAGGUAUGCCUUCGGACUCUAAGAAGAGAAAAGCACACAACUAUCUGUCCUCAUACACUGACCUCACACACAUAACCGAGGACGAUUCCGGAAGCAUAUCUCACAUACACGAGAAAGGGAUAGGUUGCUGAUCAAGAACAUAGAGAUAAAGGUAAUCACGGCAAGGUUAUACAUAGGAAUGCUGUCAGGUAAGGAGGUGUUUUUUAUUUGGUGAUCAAUCUGUGUUUUGAACUUAGAUGAUAAAUUUAUAAACAAUUUUGCUUAGCCAUACAGAAUAACAUACAUCCCAUUCCCAUUCAAUUGAUUUCGCAGAGACACAUAUACUGUCAUUUAACCAAAAGUAACUAAUGCUAUAUAACUACUUUAAAGCAGUGAAAUUUGUUUCUGGAUGAACAUUCAUACCAAUUGGUUUUUUUUCUCAUCAUAUUGCUAAUUACUUCACACUAUGACAAAUAUGUAAAGUUAGAUUGGAAGAGGGAUAGGGUUCUUUACCAAAAUCCUUUGCCAAUAACCAACCGNN
rnacentral:lncRNA from 1 species